AGACCGAAUAUGGCCUGACAUUUGCAAAGAAAUGGAACACUGACAACACACUAGGCACCGAGAUUACUAUGGAAGACCAGUUAGCAUGUGGACUGAAGCUGACCCUCCAUUCAUCCUUCUCGCCUAACACUGGGGGAAAAGUGCUAAAAUCAAGACAGGAUACAAGUGGGAGCACAUUAACCUGGGCUGCGACGUGGAUUUGGACAUUGCUGAGCCUUCAGUCCGAGGCACUCUUAAGUGCUGGGUUAUGAGGAUUGGCUGGCCAGCUACCAGGUCAAUUUUGAGACCACAAAGUCCUGAGUGACCCAGAGCAACUUUGCGGUUGGCCACAAGACUGAUGAAUUCCAGCUUCACACUAAUGUGAAUGACGGGACAGAGUUUGGCAGCUCCAAUUAGCAGAAGAGACAGGCUGAAGUGGUGCAGUCAUAGCUUACUGUAGUCUUGACCUACUGGGCUCAAGCAAUCCUCCUGCCUCAGCCUCCUGAGUAACUAGGACUACAGGUUCUGGCUCUGUCACCCAGGCUGGAGUUCAGUGGUGCGAACUUCGCUCACUGCAUCCUCGACCUCCUGGGCUCAAGUGAUGCUCCCACCUCAGCCUACCAAGUAGCUAGGACUACAGCUUGGGAAAGUUCCUAGACAUCAGGAAAUCAGCAUGUUCUCAAGCAAAUACACUUGAUAGACAUUCAUCUCAGCAGGAUAAAUAUCUACAGGAGAAAAUCAUGAAGCUACCAGAAUGUGGCCAAAGGGAAAAA
rnacentral:lncRNA from 10 species